GGAAGGCUGGAGCUUAUACCCCUGCAUUAUUUCCUCCCCAUUGUUCCUGUCCAAUGAGAGGGGAUCUUUCCAACCUUUCUCUGAAUUAACUGAUGUUUGAAUCCUUUACCGGAUUGGUUACUGUUUUCAAACCCUGAGUCACUGAGCCUCUUUCUCCAGGGGUCAAAGGCGGGAAAAGUACGCGCACUUGAACAAAGCCCCUAGGAGCCAGCGGUCGGAAAAUUCUUUCUCUGGAAACAAAGCUCUACUGACCAGAGGCGGGGAAAAUUCCUGCGGUUGAAACAAAGCCCCUAGCUGAUCCAGGAAGUUCCUCUAACACAGUCCCUCAAUCCCUUCUCCUCUAGCUAACCAACAAGAGAACUAUGUAUUACGCAGAAGCAUGUCGUGAAGGAAUAAUGAAGACUGUGAGCAUCUAGAAGUCAUGAGUUCUACAGAGGAAGCUGCUUCAAUAGGUAAUAAAGUAUCUGACUCCAUUUUGAUCUUUGAUUGUUAACAGCUUUGAGGCUUCAUGCCGCCCCCUUUUCCACUUGCCCCUUAUCUGGGCAAACCAAAUCUGUGCAGGCAGAUAGGAAAGCCCCCAUUGAUCCUUAUGUUGGUGCCAAAUUCACAAACUCCAGUCCCUUUUUUUUACCAGUGGAAGAAAUCCGAGUUACACUGAGUUACUGGUAGCGGUAUGAGUCUAUAGCAACUUCAGUCUUGCCUCAUCAGAAGAAAUAAUUCGACUGUGGGGCAUAAGUCAGAAAAAGAGACCAAGCCUACACUUCUCUGGAGUGCAUUCUGAAACCCUGGAACUUCUUUGACUUCAAGACUGAAGAAAAAGUGGCUCACAUUCUUUUGCACAGGGAUGUGGCCUUCUUUCCAGCUUGGGGAUGAACAAACCUGGCCUUCUGAGGCAACAACUUCUCAUCUGUUCAAGUUUCAUCAUAGGAUUGAAGUAAUUCAGUCACAUCUUCAGGUUUCACUUCUGAUUAUACUUCCCUUGCCAUCUCCAUAACAUCUGCAAUUAGUUGCGUCACUGAAGUCUUGAAUUCCUCCAAGUGAUUCAUGAGUGUUGGAAUCAGCUUCUUCCAAAUCUCUGUCAUCAGGGAUGCAUCUACUUUAUUGGAUGGCAAAAUAGAAAAUGCCUCUUACAAUCGCCACAUAAAAAGGUAC